GGAAGUUCCACCAAGAAGGGAUUUCUCGGUUUUCACUCUUAAGAGAGAAUUGCGGUCGGCUGGUGAUCAGUUGCGAUCCCAGCCGGUUUGCUAAAUUGCUUUUUAAAGUUCCUCUGGAUGAUGAAUCUAGACAACAGAAUCCAUAGUGGAUUAGCAACGGCCAGCGGUGGAAUGGAUGUGUUGAACUUUUGUUGCUCUUUGACAUUAAAAAAAAACAAAAAACCACCAGCGGGGAGAGCAUAUUGACAGAAAGGCUGCAUUCCGGCUGAUAUAUUCUCUUCAAGACAGCAGAUUCAGUGUGUCUGCUAAGGAGCAGUGUGCUGGAGUUGGAUUUAGUAGGAAAGAAGGUGUUGGUAUUGGUCGGGGUCUUCGUAGAAGGCAGAGAUCAGAGAGCAUCAGGGCUAUGGCCAUUUCAGAUACUUCUUGCAAGCGAUGACUGUCAGCUUCCACCAGAGAGCAGAGCUGCUCUAUUACCCAAGUCUUUUACACUCUGGAAAUGAGUGAGACAGCGACACAGCCAGAUCCUG